rnacentral:rRNA from 1 species
CGCGAAUCGCCCUUCGGGGUGCCCAGGCGCGAAAACUUUACAAUGCGGGAAACCGUGAUAGGGGAACUCCGAGUGCCCGUAAAAUCGGGCUGUCCAUUGGUUUAAAUAACCAGUGAAGAAAGGGCCGGGCAAGACCGGUGCCAGCCGCCGCGGUAAUACCGGCGGCUCGAGUGGUGGCCACUAUUACUGGGCUUAAAGCGUUCGUAGCUGGUUUGUUAAGUCUCUGGGGAAAUCUUCCGGCUUAACCGGAAGGCGUCUCAGGGAUACUGGCAGACUAGGGACCGGGAGAGGUGAGGGGUACUCCAGGGGUAGGAGUGAAAUCCUGUAAUCCUUGGGGGACCACCUGUGGCGAAGGCGCCUCACCAGAACGGCUCCGACAGUGAGGGACGAAAGCUGGGGGAGCAAACCGGAUUAGAUACCCGGGUAGUCCCAGCUGUAAACGAUGCGCGUUAGGUGUAUCGGUGACCACGAGUCACCGAGGUGCCGAAGAGAAAUCGUGAAACGUGCCGCCUGGGAAGUACGGUCGCAAGGCUGAAACUUAAAGGAAUUGGCGGGGGAGCAC